rnacentral:rRNA from 1 species
GACGAACGCUGGCGGCGUGCUUAACACAUGCAAGUCGAACGGAAAGGCCCCUUUGGGGGUACUCGAGUGGCGAACGGGUGAGUAACACGUGAGUAACCUGCCCUUGACUUCGGGAUAACUUCAGGAAACUGGGGCUAAUACCGGAUAGGAAUCCUUGCUGCAUGGUGGGGGUUGGAAAGUUUCGGCGGUUUUGGAUGGACUCGCGGCUUAUCAGCUUGUUGGUGGGGUAGUGUCUUACCAAGGCUUUGACGGGUAGCCGGCCUGAGAGGGCGACCGGCCACAUAGGGACUGAGGUACGGCAGAGACUGCUACGGGGGGGAGCAGGGGGGAAUAUUGAACAAUGGGCGGAGGGCUGGUGAAGCAACGCCGCGUGCGGGAUGACGGCCUUCGGGUUGUAGACCGCAUUCAGAAGGGGCGAAGCUUGUGGUGACGGUACCUGCAGAAGAAGCACCGGCUAACUACGUG